rnacentral:piRNA from 1 species
UGUGAAAAUUGUAUUUUCCUG